UUUUGAAAGGGUGAAGCCAGUCGUACCGGCGGGUAAUCAGCCUAUUGGGUGUGAUUAUGUGGAGCGUGAGGAGCUAAUCACCAUCAUGCCUGCAUAUUCGUGCACUUUGGGUGAACUUGCUCGUGUGGUAGGUUAACAUCAAUUUUGAUUGUCAUAAAAUGGUUGGAGGAAUGUAGCUUCGAUCUCGUAUUGAAGUGUUAUAGCCUUUGGUAGAUGUGACGAUUGGGAUCGAGGAUUGCAACGAAUACCUUUGUGCUAUCCGUCUGACCUCUGAAAGUCGCUCGGGUGCUGAAAGCUUGCUUAUGGCUAUUCAAGUUGGCGGUCAAUAGGUUAGAACGUGAUUCUGUU
rnacentral:rRNA from 1 species